GAUGAACGCUAGCUACAGGCUUAACACAUGCAAGUCGAGGGGCAGCAGGGAUUUAGCUUGCUAAAUUCGCUGGCGACCGGCGCACGGGUGCGUAACGCGUAUCCAACUUUCCCGUUACUCUCGGAUAGCCUUCCGAAAGGGAGAUUAAUACGAGAUGGUGUUCAGUUUCCGCAUGUUUGCUGAACUAAAGAUUCAUCGGUAACGGAUAGGGAUGCGUGACAUUAGAUAGUUGGCGGGGUAACGGCCCACCAAGUCAACGAUGUCUAGGGGUUCUGAGAGGAAGGUCCCCCACACUGGAACUGAGACACGGUCCAGACUCCUACGGGAGGCAGCAGUGAGGAAUAUUGGUCAAUGGGCGCAGGCCUGAACCAGCCAAGUAGCGUGAAGGAUGAAGGUUCUAUGGAUUGUAAAACUUCUUUUAUACGGGAAUAACAUCACCUACGUGUAGGUGCCUGCAUGUACCGUAUGAAUAAGCAUCGGCUAACUCCGUGCCAGCA
rnacentral:rRNA from 1 species